GGAUGAUGUGAUUAAUUCGAUGCAACGCGAAAACCUUACCUACCCUUGACAUGUCUGGAACCUUGCUGAGAGGCGAGGGUGCCUUCGGAGCCAGAACACAGGUGCUGCAUGGCUGUCGUCAGCUCGUGUCGCGAGAUGUUGGGUUAAGUCCCGCAACGAGCGCAACCCUUGUCAUUAGUUGCCAUCAUUUAGUUGGGCACUCUAAUGAGACUGCCGGUGACAAACCGGAGGAAGGUGGGGAUGACGUCAAGUCCUCAUGGCCCUUAUGGGUAGGGCUUCACACGUCAUACAAUGGUCGGUACAGAGGGUUGCCAAGCCGCGAGGUGGAGCCAAUCCCUUAAAGCCGAUCGUAGUCCGGAUCGUAGUCUGCAACUCGACUACGUGAAGUCGGAAUCGCUAGUAAUCGCAGAUCAGCAUGCUGCGGUGAAUACGUUCCCGGGUCUU
rnacentral:rRNA from 1 species